rnacentral:rRNA from 1 species
UACGUAGGGUGCGAGCGUUGUCCGGAAUUAUUGGGCGUAAAGAGCUCGUAGGCGGUCUGUUACGUCUGCUGUGAAAACCCGGGGCUUAACCCUGGGCUUGCAGUGGAUACGGGUAGACUAGAGGCAGGUAGGGGAGAAUGGAAUUCCCGGUGUAGCGGUGAAAUGCGUAGAUAUCUGGAGGAACACCGGUGGCGAAGGCGGCAUCCUGGACCGGUAUUGACGCUGAGGCGCGAAAGCUAGGGGAGCAAACGGG